rnacentral:tRNA from 1 species
CGGGGUGUAGCGCAGUUGGUAGCGCGCCUGGUUCGGGACUAGGAGGCCGUGGGUUCGAAUCCCGUCACUCCGACCA